CUUGGUCAUUUAGAGGAAGUAAAAGUCGUAACAAGGUUUCCGUAGGUGAACCUGCGGAAGGAUCAUUAGUGAACGCCCUCACGGGCUUAUAACUAUUCCAAACCUCUGUGGACCGUGCCCUUCGGGGCUAUUUUACAAACAUGGUGUAAUGAACGUCAUAUAUCAUAACAAAACAAAACCUUCAACAACGGAUCUCUUGGCUCUCGCAUCGAUGAAGAACGCAGCGAAAUGCGAUAAGUAAUGUGAAUUGCAGAAUUCAGUGAAUCAUCGAAUCUUUGAACGCACCUUGCGCCCUCUGGUAUUCCGGAGGGCAUGCCUGUUUGAGUGUCAUGUAGACUCAAUCCCUCGGGUUUCCGAGGAGAUUGGACUUGGGUGUUGCCGCUCUGCCGGCUCGCCUUAAAAGACUUAGCGGGAUAGCACCGUAGUCGGCGUAAUAAGUUUCGUCGGUGAAGGUUGUGAUGACUGCUUACAAUCGCCCUCGGGCAAUUUUUGGCUCUGACCUCAAAUCAGGUAGGACUACCCGCUGAACUUAAGCAUAUCAAUAAGCGGAGG
rnacentral:rRNA from 1 species